UGAGAUCUAGAGAGAAACUAUAUAUUGGAUGUUAUAUAAGAACCUUGGUGGUAUAGGACAGCACACAUGAAAUUCCUGAUUAGAGAUGAUGUAUGGGAUAAACUUGGUCUGUUACUUGUUAUAAUUUAUGUUUAAUCAGCCUAAGGAAAGCUUGGUUGAGAGCUUAAUGGUUUCCAAAGCUUGGAAUUGCCAUGAAAGCAAUCUAAAGUAAGCUAAUUGUUGUGUGUAUAUAUGUAUGUAGUAAACAACCUGGGUAGAUUAGUUCUAAUUUCGGAUUAGGGAUCAUUGUAUUUAACCUAGAGAAAAGGUUUAGCCUGUAAUUUCUAGGUUACUAGUACUUGAAUUACCAUGGAACCUAGUAGAAAAGCUAUAUGCAUUUUAUGCAAUUUGUAUAGAAUCAGGCUAUGUGAAACUUAAGCAUAAAAAUGCACUUUUGUAGGAUUGGAGGCCUAGUUUGAAAUUGGUCGCUUGAAACCCUAAUUGGGGAUAAAACUGACGCGCUGGAAAGCUCGAAUCGGCGUUCCGAUAAGCCUACGGCAAGCUGGUGAGGAAAAAACUCAUUUUAGCUUUGUUUGUCGCGAGCGAGUGUCGUUAUUGUUCAGAAAUCGCGAGAAGUGGUUUUCUCGCUUCUCGACUUCAUUUAAAGGUUUUUGUUCGUGCGGGUUGGUUGAGGAUCAUGACUUGGACAGCGCUCCAUAGAUAGCUGACAUCCAUUGAGUAUAGUUGUACCUUGUACAUUUCAUCUAUUUAUAGUUGAUGAAAGUAAAUGUAAAUUGUUUAUUUGAGAGAUGGCAACGUAUCUAUGUUAAAGAAUGUAUUAAAGAAUAUGUGUAAGUAAAUGGUAAGCUUUGUAUUUAAUUUAAAGUAAUCAAGAUACAAUGUAGGAAUGUUUUAGUUAGUUACUUUCACUUGUUUGUGUUUCUUA